UAAAAUAGGGCUACUUGAUAUUCAAACUUAUUUAAACUAAAACCUGCAUAAUUGCACCUGGCAAGGUAUGUGCACUGUCAACCUGAACUCCAAGCUUCUAAUGUGAGCUCAUGCCUCCAGGAGACAUCUGCGUCGAGAAGCUACUGAGUUCGGAGCCAAGCAGGUCACAUAAGGGUCAACUUCAUAUCACAAGACAGAAAACUGUUGCCAGAAAGAAGAGGCAGGGAUCAAAACUACCAUCAUCAAGAGACUGAAUGUGGUGUUUGAAGCCUCGGCAGCUUUUACAGCUUGCCCUCCGCAG